rnacentral:rRNA from 1 species
GCAGCGACAACGUCCCCGUCCAUGCCUCUUCAUUGUUUGAUUCAAGUGCUUAAUUGCCUUGGUCGUCUCGGGUUGCCUGUGUUGUGUACCAUUCUUGAAGGCAUUGGUUUGGCUAAAAAUAUCCCGUCUCCUCUUAGUGCUGCCGACCACGUGUUUGUGGCACGAGGGGGAACCAAAAAGCAGUCGACGUGUAUCCACUUCUUUUUCGUGCGUGCAUGAAGGGAAUUUGGCCCAUGUCGGCUUGCUCGAUCUCUCGGUUGCGGUGCAUAAUUCGGGUACGAGGCCCUCGAGCCUCUGUUUUGCCCAUAAAAUAAGCGUUCUACGCUUCAUGCGAACGACACUCGUCAUCGUUUUGGUUGGGUCCUCGUGACUCGACCCAUGCGUUGCGACGUCGAUGAAGGAAUGCUACCUGGUUGAUCCUGCCAGUAGUCAUAUGCUUGUCUCAAAGAUUAAGCCUGCAGGUUGUAAGUAAAACGGGGGGAGGCUGUCCGGCACGAGGCAAGUUUCGGGGGGGGGGGGGUGGUCAACUUGAAAGAAGUAUCUUUUUUUUUAUUAUAAGAGUUUUCUAAGUAGGGGGUAGAUGUUAUAUGUAACAAGGUGGAGGAGAAGGAUAAGUUUGUUUGUUUUGUGGGUUGAGAAAGAAGAGUGGAGUGGGUACGGUGGGGGGGGGAGGUUGGAGGUUUUUUAUUUUAUUUCUCUUUAUGAAUUGUUGGGAGGGGAAUAGUAAAAUAGAGUUUGAUGGUUAGAAGAAUUGAUAAGAAUAUAUAAAAAAAAAAAAGAAAAGAGAAGUAAGAAAGAAAGUAACUAAGAAAAGAAUUAGAGAUAGAAAGUCAGUCAACAGGAAAAGCUGUGUGGGGGAAAAGGGAUGACGGAAAGAGAGUAAAAAAGAAGGGAAAUAGAUAGAAUUAGUUAAAAGAAAGGGUUGCAGGGGACGGUGUGGUAAGGGAUUAGGAAGAAGGUUAAUAUUAGGGUAAUGUGAAAGGCAGGGAGAAGAGUGUUUUGGAGGGGUGUAGUAAGAGAAAGAAAGAGGAAAA